rnacentral:misc_RNA from 1 species
GAUGAAGAACGCAGCGAAAUGCGAUAAGUAAUGUGAAUUGCAGAAUUCAGUGAAUCAUCGAAUUUUUGAACGCACAUUGCGCCCGCCAGUAUUCUGGCGGGCAUGCCUGUUCGAGCGUCAUUUCAACCAUCAAGCCCCAGGCUUGUGUUGGGGACCUGCGGCUGCCGCAGGCCCUGAAAACCAGUGGCGGGCUCGCUGUCACACCGGGCGUAGUAGAUUUUAUCUCGCUCAGGGCGUGCUGCGGGUUCCGGCCGUUAAAAAGCCUUUUUUACCCAAGGUUGACCUCGGAUCAGGUAGGAAGACCCGCUGAACUUAAGCAUAUCAAUAAGCGGAGGA